rnacentral:rRNA from 1 species
AUUGAACGCUGGCGGCAUGCCUUACACAUGCAAGUCGAACGGUAACAGGUCUUCGGAUGCUGACGAGUGGCGAACGGGUGAGUAAUACAUCGGAACGUGCCCGAUCGUGGGGGAUAACGAAGCGAAAGCUUUGCUAAUACCGCAUAAGAUCUACGGAUGAAAGCAGGGGACCGCAAGGCCUUGCGCGAACGGAGCGGCCGAUGGCAGAUUAGGUAGUUGGUGGGAUAAAAGCUUACCAAGCCGACGAUCUGUAGCUGGUCUGAGAGGACGACCAGCCACACUGGGACUGAGACACGGCCCAGACUCCUACGGGAGGCAGCAGUGGGGAAUUUUGGACAAUGGGCGAAAGCCUGAUCCAGCCAUGCCGCGUGCAGGAUGAAGGCCUUCGGGUUGUAAACUGCUUUUGUACGGAACGAAAAGACUCUUUCUAAUAAAGAGGGUCCAUGACGGUACCGUAAGAGUAAGCACCGGCUGACUACGUGCCAGCCGCCGCCGUAAGAC